UACGGAGGGUGCAAGCGUUGUCCGGAUUUAUUGGGUUUAAAGGGUGCGUAGGCGGCCUUGUAAGUCAGUGGUGAAAGCCUCCAGCUCAACUGGAGAACUGCCAUUGAUACUGCAAGGCUUGAGUACAGGCGAGGUUGGCGGAAUUGAUUGUGUAGCGGUGAAAUGCAUAGAUACAAUCAAGAACUCCGAUUGCGUAGGCAGCUAACUAGGCUGUAACUGACGCUGAGGCACGAAAAGCGUGGGGAGCGAACAGG
rnacentral:rRNA from 1 species